AUUACUGAGCGCGAGGCCCCGCAGCGCGCAAGCGCUGCGGCGGUUGACCCUCCACCCGUGUGAACUCUUAUCUGUUGCUUUGGCGGGCCGGGCUCGACCUGCCGGCUCCGGCUGGCGAGUGCCCGUCAGAGAAGCCCCAACUCGUGCUGUGAGUGUUGUCUGAGGAAAUGUGGAAUUAGUAAAACUUUCAACAACGGAUCUCUUGGCUCUGGCAUCGAUGAAGAACGCAGCGAAAUGCGAUAAGUAAUGUGAAUUGCAGAAUUUAGUGAAUCAUCGAAUCUUUGAACGCACAUUGCGCCCCCCGGCAUUCCGAGGGGCAUGCCUGUUCGAGCGUCAGAACACCCCUCAAGCCUGGCUUGGUCUUGGGGCUCGCCGGCUCGGCGGCCCCUAAACGCAGUGGCGGUGCUGUUGUGCUCUCCGCGUAGUCAUGUAUCUCGCGACAGAGCGGUGACGGCACCCGCCAGAACCCCAGUCUUUGGAUGACCUCGGAUCAGGUAGGGAUACCCGCUGAACUUAAGCAUAUCAAUAAGCGGAGGA
rnacentral:rRNA from 1 species